GAUGAAGAACGUAGCGAAAUGCGAUAAGUAAUGUGAAUUGCAGAAUUCAGUGAAUCAUCGAAUCUUUGAACGCACAUUGCGCCCCCUGGUAUUCCGGGGGGCAUGCCUGUUCGAGCGUCAUUUCACCACUCAAGCCUCGCUUGGUAUCGGGCAACGCGGUCCGCCGCGUGCCUCAAAUCGACCGGCUGGGUCUUCUGUCCCCUAAGCGUUGUGGAAACUAUUCGCUAAAGGGUGUUCGGGAGGCUACGCCGUAAAACAACCCCAUUUCUAAGGUUGACCUCGGAUCAGGUAGGGAUACCCGCUGAACUUAAGCAUAUCAAUAAGCGGAGGA
rnacentral:misc_RNA from 1 species